rnacentral:rRNA from 1 species
UACAGAGGUCUCAAGCGUUGUUCGGAUUCAUUGGGCGUAAAGGGUGCGUAGGUGGCGUCGUAAGUCAGGUGUGAAAUCUCGGGGCUCAACCCCGAAACUGCACUUGAUACUGCGAUGCUCGAGUACUGGAGAGGAGACUGGAAUUUACGGUGUAGCAGUGAAAUGCGUAGAUAUCGUAAGGAAGACCAGUGGCGAAGGCGAAUCUCUGGACAGUUACUGACACUGAGGCACGAAGGCCAGGGGAGCAAACGGG